AGCUGGAGCCCCCGCUGGCCGAUCUGGGAACUGCAGCCUCACAGGUGGAUGUGAUGGAGGAGAGGGCGAUGGAAGAUGCUUGUGCUGUGGAUGCACAGAAGGGGCCAGAGGGGCUUGCGGAGGGAGACUGUCAGCCAGGGGACCGCCCACAGAAGCGGGGAAGGAAGAGUGCAGUGUGGAGGUUCUUCGGCAGGGUUUGGACUGCCCUGAAGCGCUCCCUCUGCUGCUGCAGUGUCUCUGAGGGGCGGGAA